rnacentral:tRNA from 1 species
UCCCUGGUGGCUCAGUCAGUAAAGAAUCUGCCUGCAAUUCAGGAGACCUGGGUUCAAUCCCUGGCUUGGGAA